rnacentral:rRNA from 1 species
UACGUAGGGGGCAAGCGUUAUCCGGAAUUAUUGGGCGUAAAGAGUACGUAGGUGGCAACCUAAGCGCAGGGUUUAAGGCAAUGGCUCAACCAUUGUUCGCCCUGCGAACUGGGAUGCUUGAGUGCAGGAGAGGAAAGCGGAAUUCCUAGUGUAGCGGUGAAAUGCGUAGAUAUUAGGAGGAACACCAGUGGCGAAGGCGGCUUUCUGGACUGUAACUGACACUGAGGUACGAAAGCGUGGGGAGCAGACAGG